rnacentral:lncRNA from 1 species
UAGGAUUAGCGAAAUGGCAGCAACAACAAAAAAUUGUGAGCAGUUGUUACUCUUUUAAGUUUUUAAAAACCUUUUACAUUAGCAGUAAACAGUCCUCUGCGAAGCCGACUUUUUGCCAACCCAACUCUGGAAAAUGCAGACGUGGAAGGAAGCAGAAAAUGCCAUGAGAGUAUAACUUACAAAAAGGUUCUUGACCGGAGAAGGGGCCAUGUCUUGGUACCCCCGCAGAGUGGACAAUCCUUUCUUCUGGAUAACAGGAGCAGGCCUAGUGUGACUGACAGUCCUCCCACUGAGGUAGGUGAGAACCCUUUCCCAGGCUGUGAGGGCGAUUUAGGGGCUUUGGCCUGACGCCCGGGGAGGGCGGGUUGGGAUCCCCAAACCCGCUGGGCUGGUUCUGCCGCCCCUCCCCCACACAGAUGCGGCGACUGUGUGUGAAAUGGGCGGCCUGCUGGGUCUAUCCAGCCCCGCCUGUCAGCUUCUGUUGUCAGGCAUUUGGGGCGUGCAACUCUGCUGAAUUUAGCAGCUAACUAGAGGCUGCACUUGCAAGUAUUCCCCAGUUGUGUGUUUGUGGUGGGGGGAGGGCCUUGGAUGCCUCUUGCUUCUGAGACGUCCCAGCCGCAGCCCCCUCUUCCGGCCUUCAAUAUGAGCCACCUCUGAUGUCUGGUUGCUAGUGAGAUGAAGAAGAGACAGGCAUGAGAUCUGGGCCAGCUUUCCUGGAGGUUUCCGUGACUCUUCCUGCCCUUUCCAGGGUAUCCUCCUUGCUCCCCAAUGGGCAGGCAUGUAUAACCUGAUUUCUAGUGUGAAACCUGAAUGGCUG